AAAAAGCAAAAAUCCUAGGCCACCAUGGAAGCAGGAGUUAGCCUCACAACAGCAACAAAAGUUUGUAUCGCACGAAGCUUCGUAAUACUAGAACUGCGGCGUUGUGAUGAAUAUCGACCACAAAGUCGUGUACAGCCACAACAGAAACAAUGGAAGCCAGACUCAGAGGUCUCUGAAGGGUAUCGCACGAAGUCUCGUAACAUCCCUUCAAAACCUCCGACUUAGACAGCCGAAGGUUCUCCUCGACAACACUCCACGGGAGUCGAGCAAAGGAAAAAAAUAGCACAAUUCAGCGAAGGAUCCUUCGCGCCAAUAAAGUCGAAGGUUCUAAGGCCAAGAAGCAACGAUCCUCCGCGCAAGAAAAAAUCAAGAACUCCUUCGCAACAACAAGCAUCAAGAACAAGCAAGCCACAGCAACACAAAGAUCCUUAGGAUCAACACCACCGUAACGUUGCGAUAUAUAAAUGCUGUAGCACGAAGGUUGUAAUAAAAAUGAGAUCGAAGGUUGUAGCAAA
rnacentral:lncRNA from 1 species